ACGACGCUGGCGGCGUGCCUAAUACAUGCAAGUCGAGCGAACAGAAGGGAGCUUGCUCCCGGAUGUUAGCGGCGGACGGGUGAGUAACACGUGGGUAACCUGCCUGUAAGACUGGGAUAACUCCGGGAAACCGGAGCUAAUACCGGAUAGUUCCUUGAACCGCAUGGUUCAAGGAUGAAAGACGGUUUCGGCUGUCACUUACAGAUGGACCCGCGGCGCAUUAGCUAGUUGGUGGGGUAAUGGCUCACCAAGGCGACGAUGCGUAGCCGACCUGAGAGGGUGAUCGGCCACACUGGGACUGAGACACGGCCCAGACUCCUACGGGAGGCAGCAGUAGGGAAUCUUCCGCAAUGGACGAAAGUCUGACGGAGC
rnacentral:rRNA from 1 species